UCGGUCUGCGCCAGUCUUAAUGCUCCUUACUGCUCUAAGGUAACUUCAACAUACAUAAUGGGUCCUGCGCCCAAAGAGGCUCGCCGUUUGAACACGGAGUGUUAUCAAACUGCUAUGAAAAGAGUAGACUGAGCGGCAUGCUGUGGCGCUGCUGCGGUUGAGAGGACUACAGUCGCCUUUUGCCAAGUAUACUUCCCCGUCCUCUUGGAAGCGAUGGAUUUCGCCCAGUAUACCGUUCUGUUCGUCCUGGUUCAGUACAAGUAGGACGUAUCUUGUCUAAUGGGGAGAUGAUGGCAACACGGGUUUUUUUCCAGACAGCAUAUUCAGGUUACAAGCUUCAGCUUAUUCUGAGGAAACCCACAUCAACUAUGCAAGGACGCACUGUUUACUUUGGACAAGUGAAUUAAAGAACAUAGUAGUUAAUAUGAAAGCAGCCGUUCCAUGGUUGUGCUUAAGUAUAUCAAUAUCGUACAAAAGCUAUGGCAUCGUUUGCUCUUCGGAAGCUGGCCCACCGUCCCCACAAUCGAACCGUCUUUUCGAAGUAUGAGGCGCUCAGCGAAGCAGAGGGAGAAAUAUCGUCGUGAAUGCUUCAGUUAUCUUCAUCUAGCGGAAGUCCUUUUUCCUUUUAUUAGUAUAUGUACAACAUCCACCGGGACAAUGAUGGACUAUGGUAGGCGUAACAAAAAUAUAAAUAUUUCUAUUUUAGCUGAUACCGCUUUAUACCUCAAAACGCACUGUUUACGAAGGAAAACCUCUCUUGAGGACCGCCGUAUAAUUUGUUAUCUAACAUUUGGUUUCUUCAGCAUUUUAGUGGCUUUAUGUUUAGCUGCGCACAGCAUGAAGGAACAACCGCUGAUGUUGUCUCCUGAGUGUGCUCGGCCACCGAACAGGGAGAGUUAUUAUGAAAGGACGAUUUAAAUGAAAGGUUAACCAAAUGCAUUGAAACAAUCAGCGCAAUUUUUUGUGCCUAACGCAGUUAGUGCUUUGCGGGAUGCAUUUUUCACGUGUCUGAUGUACAACUCGAAUAAAAGAAACUUGGUCAAAAUAGCUUUUAAUCUUCCAUUAGAUAAUAUCAAAGUGCUGUCUUCUCUUGCUGCGAUUUUGUCACCCCGGAAAACCUACGUAUGUUCCCAGCAAAACCACAUUUCAUGACGAGAUAGUGCUUCCGCAGUUGCAUCCUUUUCUUUUUCUCCUUUUUUCGUAAAGACGGCUUCUUUUUCCUAAGAGGAUGUUCUGUCCUUACACCUGUAUAUCCACAGCGACCCGCAUCUCUGGGAAGAGCCUGGCGAUUUUUGUUUCAAAUAAUUUCUCAAAAGUUGUUGACCUUAUUCCACAACAGGGUCUGUGCCUUGGACCGUGCGCGGACUUCCAGUCGCCGUUAACAAUAACGCUUACAGCCAAUGAAUAGGAGUAAAAAGUUCUGAUCCGCAACCGACGUUACAAGUCGUGCUCGUUAUCUAUAGUAGGUUUUGUUUAAAUGGGGAUAGAAGAUAUAUCUUAUACCAUAUAUAUAUAUAUGGUAAACUCUUCU